AUAAACGCUAGCGGCAGGCCUAACACAUGCAAGUCGAGGGGCAGCGGAAGAAGUAGCUUGCUACUUCUGCCGGCGACCGGCGCACGGGUGCGUAACGCGUAUGCAACCUACCUUUAACAGGGGGAUAAUCCGAAGAAAUUUGGUCUAAUACCCCAUAAUAUUUCAGAAGGCAUCUUUUGAGGUUGAAAACUCCGGUGGUUAAAGAUGGGCAUGCGUUGUAUUAGCUAGAUGGUGAGGUAACGGCUCACCAUUGCGAUGAUACAUAGGGGGACUGAGAGGUUUUCCCCCCACACUGGUACUGAGACACGGACCAGACUCCUACGGGAGGCAGCAGUGAGGAAUAUUGGUCAAUGGACGCAAGUCUGAACCAGCCAUGCCGCGUGCAGGAUGAAGGUGCUAUGCAUUGUAAACUGCUUUUGUACGAGGGUAAAUUCAGAUACGUGUAUCUGUUUGAAAGUAUCGUACGAAUAAGGAUCGGCUAACUCCGUGCCAGCAGCCGCGGUAAUACGGAGGAUCCGAGCGUUAUCCGGAUUUAUUGGGUUUAAAGGGUGCGUAGGCGGUUUGAUAAGUUAGAGGUGAAAGCUCGAUGCUCAACAUCGAAAUUGCCUCUGAUACUGUCAGACUAGAGUGUAGUUGCGGAAGGCGGAAUGUGUGGUGUAGCGGUGAAAUGCUUAGAUAUCACACAGAACACCGAUUGCGAAGGCAGCUUUCCAAGCUAUUACUGACGCUGAGGCACGAAAGCGUGGGUAGCGAACAGGAUUAGAUACCCUGGUAGUCCACGCGGUAAACGAUGAAUGCUAGGUGUCGGGGAGCAAAGCUCUUCGGUGCCGCCGCAAACGCAUUAAGCAUUCCACCUGGGGAGUACGUUCGCAAGAAUGAAACUCAAAGGAAUUGACGGGGGCCCGCACAAGCGGAGGAACAUGUGGUUUAAUUCGAUGAUACGCGAGGAACCUUACCCGGGCUUGAAAGUUAGCGACGGAUCCUGAAAGGGGUCUUCUCUUCGGAGCGCGAAACUAGGUGCUGCAUGGUUGUCGUCAGCUCGUGCCGUGAGGUGUCGGGUUAAGUCCCAUAACGAGCGCAACCCCUACUGUUAGUUGCCAGCAUGUCAAGAUGGGCACUCUAGCAGGACUGCCGGUGUAAGCCGAGAGGAAGGUGGGGAUGACGUCAAAUCAGCACGGCCCUUACGUCCGGGGCGACACACGUGUUACAAUGGUCGGUACAGAGGGUAGCUACCUGGUGACAGGAUGCCAAUCUCGAAAGCCGAUCUCAGUUCGGAUUGGAGGCUGAAACUCGCCUCCAUGAAGUUGGAUUCGCUAGUAAUCGCGCAUCAGCCAUGGCGCGGUGAAUACGUUCCCGGGCCUUGUACACACCGCCCGUCAAGCCAUGGGAGUUGGGGGUGCCUGAAGUACGUGACCGCAAGGAGCGUCCUAGGGCAAAACCGAUGACUGGGGCU
rnacentral:rRNA from 1 species